CGAUGAGAACAUUCUAAUGGCCCUGGAUACUGACAUGGUUACUGAGGAGGACAUCCUAAUGGCCCUGGAUACUGACAUGGUGAUCCAUAGAGUUGCAGAGAAAAGCCAGCUGUUGAGAAAAUUGUUCCUCCAAUAAGUACUUUGACUGAGUGAAGCCAGCCAGCAGACCCUGUGCAGCAGUUAGACAGUUCUGUGUUUCAGUUACGUUCUAUGUUUGGAGAGGUGUCCAACCAUUGUUUUUUAGAAGGUGUACUCCCAUGAUUUAAAGUCAGCCAGCUGACCCUGAGCAGCAGCUAGACGGUUCUAUGUCUCAGUGAGUAUUGUGGAUAUUUUAGAAUCGCUUUUUCACUCUAGGCUUCAUGAUGUGAGGUAGUUCAAUCAUGACAAAUUCAGUGUGUGUUCUGUAAAGGUUUUAUAACAUUGUGAAGUGUCUGUGUGUGUGUUCUGUAAAGGUUUUAUAACAUUGUGCAGUGUCCGUGUGUGUGUUCUGUAAAGGUUUUAUAACAUUGUGCAGUGUCUGUGUGUGUGUUCUGUAAAGGUUUUAUAACAUUGUGCAGUGUCUGUGUGUGUGUGUUCUGCAGCCUUUUUAACGUAGUACUGCAAUAGUGAUCAAUGGUUGUGAUGCAGCUAGGUGGUUGUAUUAGGGGCGGGCCGUGUGUGAACAUGCAUGCAUUAGCAGGGUGGCCGUGUGGAGUAUACGGUGCCGGUUCUGGUGGGCCGGUCUGGAUAAAAGUCCAGGGCUGUUUUUUACUCCCAGUCCUUCCCUGCCAUAACCCCACCGCCAUCAUGGUGCACUCUGUUCACAAC